UUUUAAGAGCACUCUCUUUCACCUUCAAAAGAGUGAAGGUUUGGGCAGUAAAUUAUACACCCACCCUACCAAUAAAUCCUGGGGAUAAAGAAAAUUUCCCGUCGUCUUUGAAAUUAAAAACUGGAAGGAGAAUAUUAACGUCCUAUCAUAAACUUCCACGAAACUUCCAUGAAAACUGGACAAAAAAUAUGAAAUAAGUACUUUCAUACACUGGAAAACAGUCAGCUCAGGGCUAUGAGAAUACAUCAAAAACUCAUCACUCCGUUAUGAACUAAUAACAGCCACAACGCAAUGUUCAGAGCAAUGCAUUUCUGGCAUGUGCGAUACUGAAUUCUCAAGCAAUUGGUUUCAAACGCAGGGAAAAAUACAGAGAAUCCCAAGCAAACACUCUUGUAUCUACUCUUCAGCUCUACACAAUCCUAAAAUUGUGGUCAUGUUUGCUUCAUAUUUCUUACAAAGAAAUAAAGCCUUA